AGCACUCCAAUCUCUGCCUUCUGCUCUGUCUUCACACGGCCUUCCCUCUGUGUCUCUGUGUCCUCUUCUCCUCUUAUAAGGACAACAGUGAUGAGAUUUGAGGCCUACCCCGCAUGCAGAUAAUCUGAUCUCAAGAUUAUCACCUUAAUUACAUCUGUAAAGACCUUAUUCCUAAAUAAAGUUGCCCUCUGAGUUCUGAGUGGACAUGAAUUUGCAGGGCAGGCUACUCUUCAACCCACUAUGCAGUGAGAAUGGGCUGUGCAGAGGCCGCCCACACCUGGCAGGGGUCAAGGUGAGCCCUCGGUCGCCACGUUCCCUGGGACUCCCAGGAUGGCAAGCCUGGCAGCAGUUCCUGUUUUCUUUGGUGUCAUUGGAAAUGCUACUGUUUGGAUGUAGUUUGUUGGGAUGCCAAUAUAUCAAGAAAGGCUUCCUUGUUCUCCCUCCUGAAAUUCUGCACACACGACUGUUUUUAGCAACAGUGAUGUGAUCUCUAUUUUUGGUGGCAGUUUUGAGCACCCUGUCCGUUGGAACUUUUUGUGUUGUAAACAGACAGGAGAUCCAGCCCAAAUGGAGGUAAGUAAUAAGGACCAUGCACUCACCUCGGUGGAGAGGCCACGGGUUCGGAGACCUUCAGGAGAAGUUUGAUCCAGCCGCUCAGUGAUGCAGCAGGGACCGAGAGCCCUUGGGUGCCCUGCUCCCUCCACAUUCCCAGGGGCUCCUCAUGCUGCCCUGGCAGCUCUGCAGAAGGCCUCCCUGAAGAAAGGCAGCUGGUCCCAGCUAGAGUCCCAGGGUUCAUGCUGGCUGAGCCCCCUUCUUGUUUCUUCCCCAACCCAGAGCUAUUCUCACCUCCCCUGAAGGCCUUCCCAGGUGAUGGGGGCCAUGGAGACUGCAUUGGACAGCUCUGUGCACUGUCCAUGAAGCACUUGCUGCAGGACUCCCUUAGAAACGUGAGGCUUUAAACACCUUGGGACCCCAGGAGGAGGCAUGUGUCCAGCUAGCGGUGCCCCUCUGUGGUGUGGAGAACGUUCUACUCAGACGUUCCUGAGUGGGAACUUGGCAGCACAACUGGGAAACCUGUUGCUUCCAGCCCCGCGGGCCUGUAGACCCCCCACCAGAGAUGGGCCCUCCUGCCAGGCUUCCUACCUUGUGCAACUUAGCCUCCUGCUGCACCCCAUCCACCAGCUCUGCCAGCACGAGAGGUCAUCCCACACGCUCCUGCUUCCAGGCCACCAGCUGUCCCCCAUGGCCCCCAUCUCCCCUGUACCCUCUGGACUUUGCAGAGACCCCUCUGCUCUCCUUGGGGUUACAGAGCUCUGCAUCUGUCUCCUCCCCUCCCCUGCAGCUGCUCCCAAUCCUGCACCCCACACAGAGCCUGGGGCUCCACACUCCUUCACCACUGACCACACCUGCCAGGUGCUGCCUGCAUCUCAACUCAGGCCACCUGCUCCCGCCCUCCAUGUUGGGUUCAUGCAGCGAUUCUCCCAGGCCACUCUGUGUCUCCCUCUGCUCCAGCAUCCUGCUGCCUAGGCGGCCGUGCCACUGCAGCCCUUGCUCCAGAGUACCUGCCUGGAAACCUUGCCCCGGCUCCCCAAAUGCACCUCCCUUCCCACAGGACAUCCAUUCAAGGCCACAUCCAAACCUCCAAAUGCCUCCUGAACACUUCACCUAGAGGCCUCACCUGCCUGGUGGCUCACGGAGGCUGGCGCCAUCGCCUCCCCCCGCCACAGCCAGACUGGUCUGCUCCCCCUCCUCUUCACGUCCCCUCUUGGUGAUCACCUGCUCCCCCAUUUCCCACCUCAAGCAGUCUCACCCUCCUCUGUGCCCCGCCCCUGGCUCCUACCUACGCAAGGUGGCAGCCUCUGGCCACCCUGCACGCCCAGCCAUGCAGAGCCUGGGAAACGACAGGACAUGUGGCUGUCCUUUCACGGCCCCUGUCACCUCCCCCAAAUCCAGCCAGGGCUGAGACGCCCCACACUGUGGCCCCCGGCAUAAGGCCUUGAUCCUUCCUGAGGGCAGGAUGGGGGCAGUUUUGUUCUGUGAAGUUCCUUGGCCUUGAGCUUAGCUGGACCCCGCUCCCGGAAAGCCCGAGAAACAGACGUUCCUCUGUGAAAGCCCCUUCUGAGCACCUGCAAGGAGCACUCUGCCAUCCCACUCCUGGUUCAGGCUUUCAUCCGCGUGGAGGGCCUUGUCUUCUGUGAGUCCCCGCCUCAGCCUCACCUGGCUCCUAGGAGGCUCUGGGAAGGUUAGCUGGGCUGUUCCCCAAACAAGGGGCCACAGGAAGGUGGGGGCUCCUGAGGGUCUGGGAGGCAGGGGAGACUAUGUGUGCCCUUUCUCUUCCGCACCUGAAACCUGACUUUCCCUCACUGGAGACCUGAGGAUGGAGUGCAGUGGCUUAGCUAAGCUUCUGUUAACAGCAUGCUCACUGUUUUGAAACAGAAAUGAAAGAACAUUUGGGAGUUGGGGUAUGUGCAGAGAAAACAUUUUCCUUGAAUGUCUUUACUGAAUGGGUGGGAAUAGGUAUGUGUGAAGGGGAAAAGUUCAGGGUACAGUGGUCAGGUCCUUGGGAGAUGUCGGGGAGGGCCGUCUGGCCCAGCUCCUGAGGAGGGUGGGCCCAGGCUCAUCCUAUACGCACUAGUCCUGACGCCUCACAAUUAAUCAAAUGGCUAAAAACAAACACAAAAGAAGCCCUCAGCAUUGUGUUACCAGGGCAGCGGUGUGAUGUCAUCUGUUCAUUCCAAGCUGUCACCCCGAAGCUGAGUGAAGUACGUGGUGAGGACAGGCAGAUUGUGCCUUACGUGCAUAGUGCAAAUAAGGUUUGUGUAGAGUAUUUUGCUCAUUGACUGUGGAAUUCAUUGAUUAUGUUAUUCACUGCACGUUCAGCUCCGCAAAGCGUCUUCUGUGUACCUGGGAGGAGCAUGGUGCCAUUUCCCUUCCUCCUUCAGACUUUCUUCUACAUGGAAGGCCCCGUCCUCCACAGGUCCCAGCCUCAGCUGACACUCGGGUCCCAGGAGGCUCUGCGAAGGUUUGCUGGGCGGUUCCCCCGCACGCCGGGCUACAACAAAGGAACACAGCAUGACACGUGCUGUGAACCUCAGCUGUGAGACAACCGAAGGAGAGACAACAUUCAGCAAAAACAGAGCCCAAACUGUCCCCGUUUCUCUCAGCCCCAACUGCUCCAUGGCUUGGAGUGCAGCAAAUGUUUCAGCCGCGCUCAAAGGGAAGGCUUUGCUCUGGAGUCAGCAUGCAGAGCUCGCCUCGACUCCCCUCCAUGCCGCUCCUCACCAGCACUGGCUGGGUUUGAAUCUCAGCUCCCUGGCUCCUCGCUGUAAGCCCUGGAAUGCAAACCCCAAGGGCCAAACACCCCGAGGCUCUCAGGUCCCAGGCGCGGACACCUUCCUGGCCUUGGCUGUCAUGGCCCAGAUGGAAGCAAAGACAACUCCCCUCUCCACAGGUCGGCUGGUCCUCCUGCCCCGAGAGCAGGAGCCCAGGCACAGGCUCUGUACAGAGUUCUCCAUCUACUUCUCCCAGGGUGGCUAUGCAAAGGCCGUCUGCCUCUCGCUCUCUGGGUCCCACCUGCAGCCUGUCCCAGUGGAUUCUGUAGGCUCCACAGUGAUGCUGGGAAAAGACCCAAACACCCGGACAAAGCACGUGGACAGCUGCCAAUGCCAAAACGGCAGGAAGCAAGGGAAAGGCAGCUGGCUCCGACCCUUUGCCAACCGUGUGCAACGCUGCAGGCACCUAGAGCCAGCGAGGAGCUACCAAACUGGUUCCCAUCUAUGCUUGCAGCGGCUGCUGUCGCAGAGGCAGGACAGGGGUGCAUGGCUAUGCCAAGUAUCCUUCUGGGAUGAGCCGAUUCUCUUGUCCCAGGUCGGGCAUGAUGGAGAGGCCAGAAGGUAGAAGACCGGGAUCACGGAACAGGAUCAGGACCCCAGAACAGGACCGAGACCAUGAAACAGGAAGCAAGCUACAUCCAGCACCCAGUUCAGAGAGAGGGCUGGGGACGCCGACACUCCACCUCCUUCCCAGCAAACUCGGAAGGCUCCAGGGCAUCCCUGGAGCUGCUCUGGCAGAGAAGAAUCAGUGUCCACACGUGCAGCUCUCGCUCGAGGAAGGGCAGGGGCGACAUCAGAGGCAUGCUUUGCACAGCACACGCUUCUAGAAUGGCUGGGAUUUCAACCUUGAAAGUCUCAACUCCUUCUUCCUCCUCAGAUCUUGGGAUUUUGAAAGUGAUUCCUAAAUGCCUUUCGAUCUCAUUUUUGCCGAAGGAGAUGGUCCUAAUUUACUGCAUUCCAAUUGGAAACAUUUUUGAGAGUAAAAAUACCUGAAGACAUGUUGGGCCUGGAGGUAGCAGACUCAAAAUUAAAGCAGGGGCCCCUCUAUCCACCGCCCCCCAGAUUGCAUUAAACACAGCAUGUUGGGGAUCAGUGAGUUGCCAUGGCCCUGCAAUCAGACAUUUUGCCCUCUGAAAUUUAGCCUUGAUUUUGAAGCCCUGAGUUUAGUAUAUUUAGAUGAGCUGACGGGCCCAGGGAGUCACUCAGAAAGGGUAGAGGUCCUUCAGAGCUGCGUUAAGAUACAGUGGGAGGGGGUCAAAUUGCUAAUUUCAUCUGCCACUGAAAACUCCCAAACAGCAGAGAACUUCCCAGAAGACUUGUGAAGUUGGGAGUCUGCAGGUGGCGGGGGUUGGGUGGGGAGGUGAUGGCAUUCUACCCCUAAGAGAGCAUUUUGAAGUUGAAGCUCAACUUAAAAUAUUUGUGCCUAUUUUUGAGACAGGGUCUUGCUCUGUCACCCAGGCUGGAGUGCAAUGGCACCAUCUCAGCUCACUGCAGCCUCGACCUCCCAGGCUUGAGCAAUCCUCUCACCUCAGCCUCCUGAGUAGCUGGGACUACAGGCAUGCACCACCACACUUGGCUAAUGUGUGUAUGUGUGUGUGUGUUUGUAGAAAUGGGGUUUUGCCCUGUUGCCCAGGCUGGUCUCAAACUCCCGAACUCAAGCCACCUGCUCUCCUCGGCCUCCCAAAGUGUUGGGAUUACAGAUGUGCAUCAUCGUGCCCAGCCACAUUAUGCUUUUUAGAGGGACAUCACCAAUCAGACAGUGGCCUGGGCUGGACACAGCAUCCCUGGAAGACGGCCCCUCUCUAAGGUGUCAUCUGCCAUUAGCCAAGGACCCUCUUGUCUCUCUAGCUCCAAGUCUCCACAGAGGAUGUGCUCAAAAGUGAGUGUGUGUGGCCUUGCCCCCCACUUCUCCUGCCUGCAGGUGGGGAGGGAAGCAGGUGGCAGGAGGAGGUGGCUGUCUGGGGCUGCCCUCCUCUGUACCUGUGCGUGAUUUUACUCUAUGCUGAGUGCCAGCAGGGAGGAUGGGAAACAACAUUUCUGUCUGGUUAUCAAAUGAUCGCCAUCAUUGGCCUCAUGGCAUCACCACUGUCUUCAUUGCUGGCACCUUCCCGUCCUCCCUCCAGCCAGGGAAGUCUGACCCAGGCACAGGUGACAGGAAGUGUCACUCUGCCUUAGGGGUCUGCAAUCUUGGGAUGUCAAACAGGCCCCACGGUGCCUUGCACCCCUGGUCUCACACUCUGUAUCAUUUUCUGUACUGUUCAUGUGGUUCUCAAAGCAGGCGUGGCCAGGGAGUGGGACAGCUUUGUGUCCGUGUCUUGGAGCUGCUGCAAAGAGGCCCCGAGGGCCGGGGGCUCAGGCCACAGAAACGGAUCUUGUCCCGGCAGUGGGGGCUGAAGCCUGAGAUCACAGUGUGGGCGGGGCUGGGUCCUUCUCAGGCUGUGUGGGGGGUUCUGUCCCAGGCCUCUCUCCUGGGAGUGCAGGCACUGGCUCCGCCCAUGUCCUUCACCUCCCCUUCCCUCUAAUUGUGUCUGCCUCUGUCACCACAUCUCCUCUUUAUGAGGACAUUGGCCCUAUUGGAUCAGUGCCCUCUCUAAUGACCUCAAUUUAAAUCAGUGACCUCUGUGGAGACCCUCUCUCCAGAUAAAGCCUCCUUCAGAUAAAGCCUCUUGCGGAUAAAGCCUAAAGCACUGGUGGUCAGGACUUCAACGUGUGAAUUCCAGGAGGACACACUUCAGCCCAUUACAGACCUGAUGGCUUCUGCCAGACACCCAGCCGAUCCCCAUGGCUUAUGGAGGAAGAAGACAAGUGGAGACGGGGAGGUGGUCGGGCGACCCUUUCCACGGCCAGCAGCAACUGCACCCGUGUCUGGGCACCUCCUGAGUGCUGUAAGCCCCCAUGCAUCAUCAAGACGGAGGCCCAGGCAAGGGCAGGUGGGAGCUGAAACCCGUCUCAGGAGAUCCCCAAGCCACCUUCCCUUGGUCCCAGCCCAGAUUGUGGCUCCCCUGUGUGCCUCCCAGGCCCCAGGAUAGACGUCAACCGUGUCCCCUUGUGGGUGCCUUGAGCUUAGCACCUGCCUGUCCCUUCCAGGGGCCCCUCUAAUACAGGACUUACAUCUUCAUGAAGACACUAACUGUACUAGUGCGUGUUCUCCAGAGGAGCAGAGCCACUCAAGGUGUGCACAUCAGAAGAGAGCUAUUUUAAGGAACUGGCUGACGCUGGCAAGUUCAAACUCUGCAGGGUGGGCCGGCAGGCUGGAGACCUGGGAAGGAGCUCAUGUCACAGUUCGAGGCCUAAGGCAGUCUGGGGGUGGAAUUCCUUCUUGCUCAAGGCUGGUCAAUCUCUUUGUUCUAGUCAGGCCUUCAACUGAUUGGGUGAGGCCCACCCCUUUUGACGAGAGCCACCUGCUUUACUCGAAGGCUAAUCUCAUCUAGAAACACCUUUACAGGUGCAUCCAGAGUAAUGUUUGACGAGCUAUCUUAGCACCGUGGUCCAGCCAAGCUGACUAUAGAAUUAAUCAUCACACCGUCUAAUGCCAAAAUAAUUCAAAUCUUUUUUUAAGUGAAAACAAGUUUAUUAAGAAAGUAAAGGAAUAAAAGAAUAGCUACUCCAUAGGCAGAGCAGCCCCAAUAAUUCAAAUCUUUACUGAAGUCCCAAGAGGCUUGUGGGAGGAAGGUGUACUCCGAACGCACAGCAAAAUCUUAACAUUUCUCUCUCCCUGGCCACUCUCCACAUUGCUUGCUAUGACUCCCCUGAAACUGCUCCCCUCAUUCUCAGCCUUGAACCCAGAAAUACCCCAGCCCCCAGCACUCCUGCACUUCCUUCCGCCUCCCACUUUGUUCCUGUCCUGUCCUUCCUUCUCCUCCGCAGAUGACUCCCAGCCACUUCCAGUCCUCACCCUGUCCCAACUUCUCCACCUUUGUCUCUCCACCAGCCCUGAGGCCUCACCAUGCAAGUCCAGGCACUGAGCCAGCAAAGGCAGAAUCCACCGCCCCCAGGUAGGGAAGGGGAGCAGAGAGCACAGGGCACUCUUCCCUCAAAGAGCACAGGGCACUCUUCCCUCAGAGAGCACAGGGCACUCUUCCCUCUGCACAUUUCCUGGGCAUCUCCACCCCAUUGCUCGUGAAGCUUGGAGAGCUGGUAGCUUACGGAGACAAGACUCCCCCAAGCCCCUCAAGACUGCAGGCCCAGCCCUCCCAGCUCCCCUUCAGAUCAGGGAGGAGAGAGUCACAGUGUUUCUGCUUCUCCAGCACCACCGUCCAAAGUGGAGAUGAUGUCAGCAAAGGGGAUAUUGAAGCAGAUGGAGUGGUACAGAUGGUGGGUCACUAAAACGCAGGUUGAAGGCUUUUCACAUCAAGUCAUGCCUGUGCCCACAGACAGGGGAGGAGGUGGCAUGAGGCUCCAAGCUCUGGAGCCUUGGAAGUCAGGCAGGCCCCACUGGAAUCACAGCCCCCUACUCCCAGGCAAGUCAGCUCACCUCUCCAGAACUCUGUGUGCUUCUCUGUGAAUUGGGGAUAAAGAAGAGAGUCCCUGUUACUUGCUUUUUUAUGGGCUUAGUCCUCUCUGUCCAACGAGUGUGUGAGAAAGCAAAGGUGACUGUGGCAUAGACACCGGCCGCUUAGUGCAUCGUCCCCAUUCAGACAUCCCUGCUCCUGACUCCUCCCAUCUUCUCAGGCACACCUAAGGAGUCAGUCUCUCCUGACCGAUGGAUCCAACUUCACAGCUGCGACUGAGCACCAGGGGGACGUGGCGCUGGGAAAUUGUCCCGGCAGACGAGACUGAACCCUAGAAGGGCCCCAUGGUAAAACUGAUAAAGCCUGAAAUGUGUGUGCAGACAUGGGCCUCUUUAUUACCACACAACGACCAUUAAAAUCUCUCUGCUAUGGUGUAAUUAUUUUCCAUAAAUUAUUGGGGUACUGGUGGUAUCUGGUUACAUGAGUACGUUCUUUAGUGGUGAUUUGUGAGAUCUUGGUGCACCCAUCACCUGAGCAGUAUACACUGCACCAUAUUUGUAGUCUUCUAAUCCCUCACUGCCCCCACUCUUCCCCCCAAAUCCCCAAAGUCCAUUGUAUUGUUCUUAUGCCUUUGAGUCCUCAUAGCUUAGCCCCC
rnacentral:lncRNA from 1 species